rnacentral:rRNA from 1 species
UACAGAGGUCUCAAGCGUUGUUCGGAUUCAUUGGGCGUAAAGGGUGUGUAGGUGGCGCGCUAAGUCGGGUGUGAAAUUUCGGAGCUUAACUCCGAAACUGCAUUCGAUACUGGCGUGCUUGAGGACUGGAGAGGAGACUGGAAUUUACGGUGUAGCAGUGAAAUGCGUAGAUAUCGUAAGGAAGACCAGUGGCGAAGGCGAGUCUCUGGACAGCAACUGACGCUGAGGCACGAAGGCCAGGGGAGCAAACGGG